rnacentral:rRNA from 1 species
GACGAACGCUGGCGGCGUGCUUAACACAUGCAAGUCGAACGGAAAGGCCUGCUUUCCCUUGUGGAUUGCGGGUACUCGAGUGGCGAACGGGUGAGUAACACGUGAGUGAUCUGCCCCCAACUUGGGUAUAAGCCUGGGAAACUGGGUCUAAUUCCCGAUAGGACUGCAGGGUGGUGCCUGUGGUGGAAAACGAUUUUCUAGUGGUUGGGGAUGAGCUCGCGGCCUAUCAGCUUGUUGGUGGGGUAAUGGCCUACCAAGGCGGGGACGGGUAGCCGGCCUGAGAGGGUGGACGGGCACAUUGGGACUGAGAUACGGCCCAGACUCCUACGGGAGGCAGCAGUGGGGAAUAUUGCACAAUGGGCGGAAGCCUGAUGCAGCGACGCCGCGUGGGGGAUGACGGCCUUCGGGUUGUAACCUCCUUUCGACCGCGAGGAAGCCACCUGGUUGGAAGGGUGGUGACGGUAGUGGUAGAAGAAGCACCGGCUAACUACGUG